GGGUGGGGCACCGGCCCAUCACAGCCACUGAUAUACAUGGUACAUUACAAGACAAGCUCCAUGUUCCAAGAGAAGAUAAAGAAUGUGACAUCUUCAAGAGUACCAGGAAACAGAGUCAUUUGUACCAAAUUACAGUAUGACAUCAGGAGCUGCUUCUCCCACAUUUGCACAGGAGGAGAAAGGAAAGCAAAGGGAGAAGAUAAUGAUGUGGUAGGACAGCUAUCUGCCAUGAAAGUAUUUGCCAUGUGUUGUUAAAAGAAACAUUUAAAAGGAAUAGCACAUUUUUAUUUGACAAAGUACAAUUAAAAUUUGU